CACAUGUCUGGGGCCUUGUGGGGACGGCUAGAAGCCUGGGCUCAGCAGGGACUGUCCACUGAGUGCUUCCUUGUGGCCUGUCCGGCACGGAGGCCUUGGGCUAGUUAGAAUUCUCACAUGGCAGCUCAGAGCUCCAACAGUGAGUGUUCAGCAAACAAAGCAGACGCUGUAAGCCCCUUUAUGACAGCCUGGGACGUCAGCUGCUCUGUCAGUCGGGGCAGCCUCAAGCCUUCCCAGAUUCAAGUGAGCUUCGUGGGAGAUGUAGUGUAGAAUUCGUGGCCAUAUUUUCCUAUUGCCCCUUUACCCCACGUUCCUAACUAUGGAUGGGCAUUUCCACUUCUCUUCCCUCAAAAAGGGCCACACACAGCUGAUACCAUGGGCCCUAGGAGAAGGACACCUGGCGAGGACAUCUAAUCCUGUCUGGCAGGAACAUUUGAGACUCAGGACUCCUGAAAGUUUACUUACCUCAUCCCUCCGCUUUCAGCCAACUCUUGCUGACAGGCUCUUCCAGAGAAAGUUUGCCCUGUGACCUGAGCCAGAACACACCCCAACCCUCUCUGGAGAGAAGCAGAGUCAAGGAAAGAAGAGAUUUCAUAGUGUGGACAGUGUUGGUUCUUCAGCGCCGAGGCCUCUCGAGUGUUGGUUUGCGUUUCUCACAGGCGGAGAGCACAGCAGGAAGGCCUGCUGUAGGAAGAGGAAGGACUUAAGGGGGAGGACUUCCAGGCAGGGAGGAGGUAGACAAGUCAGAGGAGGCUCCCAGAGGCUGUGUCCUUUUCUGCCUUUUGGCCUUUCUGAGAAUACCAAGAUGGAGAUCUGAGCUUUUAGCACCCAAGGUCCUGCCAGAUCCCAGAAAGCACAAAUCGGAGACGGGCCAACCUAAAGUUAAGUGAAUAAAUAAUGAGUGAUCAGGGAGCUGCAACUUGACCAUCAAAUUUUAUGCUUAAUUUAAAUCUUAGAGAGGAAAACUUAUAAUCGUGUCUUCAGGCUCAGUUUCCUAACAUAUUUCUCUUUGUAAAAGUACUAUUUUUUUCAUAAGCAACUGGAAGAUUUCAAGUGUUUCCAAAGAACCUUUAUAAAAUCCCUAGCAGAGUCUCCAGUAAAGCUAUAAAUUGUAUUUCUUGUCCUUAAAAAAAAUUAUUGUGUUCUGUUCUCCAGAGGGAGGAAUUGGGCAAUUUUGUAUGAGGGACUGAAACUGAGGCCAAAUAUCACCAUUUCAGUCUUGACAUUUAUCUGGAAUCAGGAUGUGCACACCAUCAAACCAUGUGACUUGGCACUACAAGAAGAUUUUGUUUUCUUUGCACUGAUUGUUGACAGUAUGUGAGGCCCAACCUACAUCAGAUCUUGGGACUGUGGGAGAAAGCUGCAGACAGCUGAGUUACAUCCAUGAUGUCUCUAUGUCAAUGAAUUAACCUACUCUGAAACUGUCCUAC
rnacentral:lncRNA from 1 species